rnacentral:rRNA from 1 species
AGACGUCUACAUUAGAUACCCGGGUAGCCCCAGCCGUAAACUAUGCGCGUUAGGUGUAUCGGUGACCACGAGUUACCGAGGUGCCGAAGGGAAACCGUGAAACGUGCCGCCUGGGAAGUACGGUCGCAAGGCUGAAACUUAAAGGAAUUGGCGGGGAGCACCACAACGGGUGGAGCCUGCGGUUUAAUUGGACUCAACGCCGGGAAGCUCACCGGAUAAGACAGCGGAAUGAUUGCCGGGCUGAAGACUCUGCAUGACUAGCUG